GUUUUUUGUUCGUUUGUUUUUUGGGGGGCUUCUUGGCAGACACAGGAGCUGGACUACAAAAUUUUGCUGUUGCAAAAUAUUUUAUAUAUUUUAUAUAUGUAUAUACAUUUUAUUUUAUAUUAUAUAUUUUUCUCCUUUAAAUUUCUCCACAGGGUGUCAGGAAAGCCGCUGGUGCCAGAGCUCAAAGUGCCAUUGUUGCUGGGCUAGGGGGUUCUCCUUUCCUUUUCCUAACCUGCAGAGAUGCAGCCAGCAGUUGCCUGUGGGCAAAGGGACUGACCAGAGGGGAGCAAACCCAGCUUGGCUAAUGAGCACCAAUUAAAAACCUGGCCUGGAAUAACCUAGCACAGGGAGGAAUGGUAGAAACUACAGGUGCUGCACAGACACCUCCCAGGGCUGUGGUCUCUGCCCUGAUACAAGACAGAACCAGUGCAGAGUGAGGCUGCUUCUCUCCAGUCACGGAGGAGAUCAAGAACAGAGCUAGGAACAGGAGGACCCCAGCAAAAUGAUUAUAUAUUCUCAUCACAACAUCUUAGAGGUGUGUGGAAGAUACCGUGCUGAAGAUACAUCAGCUUACUACAAGGGUCUUAUGUCCUGUCUUCAACAGAGUUCCCACAAACAAGAUUUCAAGUGCUUUAGAACUACUGACUGCAGCACAGCCCGGACAGCAGGCAUUUCUUCUGCGUGUUGCUCGUAUGCAAGGCUUAGAUUAAAGGCACAAAGAGAAGAGAGCAGCACGCACAGGUACAACAAGCAGAAGUUUACCCAUGCUUCUCUGCUAGGGUGGCAGGCAGUUUUGUGUCUUUAACUGGUUCCUGGUAGCAGAACCU
rnacentral:lncRNA from 1 species